rnacentral:rRNA from 1 species
GAGUUUGAUCCUGGCUCAGGACGAACGCUGGCGGCGCGCCUAACACAUGCAAGUCGAACGAGCGAGAGAGAGCUUGCUUUCUCAAGCGAGUGGCGAACGGGUGAGUAACGCGUGAGGAACCUGCCUCAAAGAGGGGGACAACAGUUGGAAACGACUGCUAAUACCGCAUAAGCCCACAGCUCGGCAUCGAGCAGAGGGAAAAGGAGCAAUCCGCUUUGAGAUGGCCUCGCGUCCGAUUAGCUAGUUGGUGAGGUAACGGCCCACCAAGGCGACGAUCGGUAGCCGGACUGAGAGGUUGAACGGCCACAUUGGGACUGAGACACGGCCCAGACUCCUACGGGAGGCAGCAGUGGGGAAUAUUGCACAAUGGGGGAAACCCUGAUGCAGCGACGCCGCGUGGAGGAAGAAGGUCUUCGGAUUGUAAACUCCUGUUGUUGAGGAAGAUAAUGACGGUACUCAACAAGGAAGUGACGGCUAACUACGUGCCAGCAGCCGCGGUAAAACGUAGGUCACAAGCGUUGUCCGGAAUUACUGGGUGUAAAGGGAGCGCAGGCGGGAAGACAAGUUGGAAGUGAAAUCUAUGGGCUCAACCCAUAAACUGCUUUCAAAACUGUUUUUCUUGAGUAGUGCAGAGGUAGGCGGAAUUCCCGGUGUAGCGGUGGAAUGCGUAGAUAUCGGGAGGAACACCAGUGGCGAAGGCGGCCUACUGGGCACCAACUGACGCUGAGGCUCGAAAGUGUGGGUAGCAAACAGGAUUAGAUACCCUGGUAGUCCACACCGUAAACGAUGAUUACUAGGUGUUGGAGGAUUGACCCCUUCAGUGCCGCAGUUAACACAAUAAGUAAUCCACCUGGGGAGUACGACCGCAAGGUUGAAACUCAAAGGAAUUGACGGGGGCCCGCACAAGCAGUGGAGUAUGUGGUUUAAUUCGACGCAACGCGAAGAACCUUACCAAGUCUUGACAUCCCUUGACGAUGCUGGAAACAGUAUUUCUCUUCGGAGCAAGGAGACAGGUGGUGCAUGGUUGUCGUCAGCUCGUGUCGUGAGAUGUUGGGUUAAGUCCCGCAACGAGCGCAACCCUUACUGUCAGUUACUACGCAAGAGGACUCUGGCAGGACUGCCGUUGACAAAACGGAGGAAGGUGGGGAUGACGUCAAAUCAUCAUGCCCUUUAUGACUUGGGCUACGCACGUACUACAAUGGCGUUAAACAAAGAGAAGCAAGACCGCGAGGUGGAGCAAAACUCAGAAACAACGUCCCAGUUCGGACUGCAGGCUGCAACUCGCCUGCACGAAGUCGGAAUUGCUAGUAAUCGUGGAUCAGCAUGCCACGGUGAAUACGUUCCCGGGCCUUGUACACACCGCCCGUC